AGUCACAAAAGCACUCGUUGGUAAAGUCCUCCAUUUCUCACAAAAAAAAUUAAAAAAAAAAAAGUCCUCGAAGCCAUCCAAUCUGUCUUCCCCACACCAAAUCCAAGCCUUCAAAUCCCAACUUAGCCACAAUGGUGAAGAAGUUCAUGGAAAAGAAGUCGUCGUCUUCUUCGUUGAAGGCGGUGAAGAUGGUGAUUCCGUCAGAUGUGAUUGCAGAGGAAUAAAAUCGCCGUUUUUUCGACGAAGAGGAUUGUUCCUGUUUUCGGAAAGAUUCGCCGGCUCCGGCAACAGCAUCGGAGGCAGAUCAUCAAGAAGAACGAAAUCACGCUACUCCACCUUGGUCAGACCAGCUGAUCUCUCUCUCAUCUCCACUAUGUCUCCACGCUGCAAUGGUAUCACUCCCGACGCCGUCGUUUCUGCCCUUACCUUCCUCCAAAUCUUCGAUCGAGUUUACGACCUUCUCCACGGUCUCUCUCUCUCUCUCAGUCUUUGUUUGCUUGCUCAGAAAAUUUUGUGUUCUGAUUUUACUUUUGGAUUUUGUUUUAACAACUGAGGUGGAGCUAAGUUUCCGUUUGGUUGAGGAGAUAAUAUACAGUAACAGACCAAAGAGUGGGAAAAAAUACACUUGGAGGGGCGAUAAAACUAUUGGUAUUCAUGGGUAAAUUUUUUGGGUAGGAUAUGGGAAUACCCAAUCCAUACCUUAUCCAUGCCCAUCCCCAUGGCCAUCCCUAAAUGCACCGUAUAUUGACAACCAGGCAAUCAGCUCAUGCGCUUCUUGCAAUAAAUGACUAUUUCUCUCGUCUUCGAGCCCUUAGUUCCCUCUGGCUUGCACGGCCACGGGAAUGAGAAGCACAAAAUUGUCUUGAUGAAGUUCUUUUGAAGACUGACUCAACCCAUCCUAUCAAAUGAUCGUUAAGCAUAGAGUUCAUAAAGGAUCAGUCAUAUGAUUCAUCAUUCAGUGGAGUUGCUGCCGAUCUUUAAUCCUAAAUUCAUUUGGGAUUGGGUUGUCAUGCAUUAGUCACAUUGAUCAUCAAAUUGAAAGUUUGCAGAUCUCUUUGUUGUUGAUAUUGUCUCCAUCUACACUUCUUUUGUCACAUAUGUUUACCUAGGUCGUUUAUUCUCAUUUCUUAUGUUUAAACUAUAGAUCCAAUAAUCUGAUUAUGUUAGCUGUUUAAUAGAACCAGGAUGAAAAUAGGAUAGCAUUUGUAAUGUAGGUUACAGUAAUCGAUUUGUAUACCAGAAUCAGAUUAUAUAUUGGUGAAGGAGUUCUUUUUUUUUUUUUUUUGGUGUUUGGAUUUUCUUUAUUCAUAUUCAACAUGUAAAUAUGUUGCUGUGCGCAAUUUCAUUUGCAAUGAUAAUUUCGUAGGUUGGUUGUAUCGUUUGGUUUUAGUGGAAAGUCAAUUUUGUAUGCUGAAAUGUGCUGGGGAAGUUUGGCUAUAGUUGGGUUUCAUCAAAUUU